UUAUUAUCUGUGUCAGGGUAACAUCUAAGAAAUUUGAUUCUUGUACUUACCUGGCAGGAGAUGGAGAUAGCUAACUAGACACAGAGGAGCAAGGUGAUAUGAAGAUAGCUGUGACUGAUAUGAUAAGGAGUGGUCAACAGCUGUCUGAUAACUGCAUGGUUCACGACAAGGGUCAUGAGAGCAGCAAGAAUGAGGCACCACCAGAAGCUGCAAGACAUCCUGCCUUACUCUCUGGGCCAUCUCUGCAGACUACAGCAACAGUCUAAGCUGACAAAAUUUAACUUGGGUAUUUCUUUGGAAUACCUAAUGUGGGUUUGUGGAAGUGCUGUAUUCAUUCUUCAGUAGUGUCACUGCCAAUGCAGGCUUUGUUACCCAGCUGGCUGUGGCAUCCCCAUGCUGGUGGUGGAGAGGUGCUGGGGAACAUGGCUGGAGGUGGGCAUUGCACGGGGCUCUCCCACCCCUUCACCCACAGCUGACCCUUGUGGAAACACUCAAUAUCUAAAAGAAAACCCAUCCACUUCCUUGCAAUAAAACAUUUGGAACAGC
rnacentral:lncRNA from 1 species